rnacentral:rRNA from 1 species
AGUGAACGCUGGCGGUAGGCCUAACACAUGCAAGUCGAACGGCAGCACAGUAAGAGCUUGCUCUUACGGGUGGCGAGUGGCGGACGGGUGAGGAAUACAUCGGAAUCUACUUUUUCGUGGGGGAUAACGUAGGGAAACUUACGCUAAUACCGCAUACGACCUACGGGUGAAAGCAGGGGAUCUUCGGACCUUGCGCGAUUGAAUGAGCCGAUGUCGGAUUAGCUAGUUGGCGGGGUAAAGGCCCACCAAGGCGACGAUCCGUAGCUGGUCUGAGAGGAUGAUCAGCCACACUGGAACUGAGACACGGUCCAGACUCCUACGGGAGGCAGCAGUGGGGAAUAUUGGACAAUGGGCGCAAGCCUGAUCCAGCCAUACCGCGUGGGUGAAGAAGGCCUUCGGGUUGUAAAGCCCUUUUGUUGGGAAAGAAAAGCAGCAGGUUAAUACCCCGCUGUUCUGACGGUACCCAAAGAAUAAGCACCGGCGAACUUCGG